AGGGCAUUGGAGGAGGGCAGAGACAGUGGAUUCAGAACCGUCGGGGAUCCACUGGGUUGUUGCCAAACGGGGCACCUGCCUCUUUGGAUGAAGAUUUGAAUUAUUACCUCCUAGAGCCCAUAAUAUACCUCACCUCUCUACAGACAAAGGUGACCAUCUAAGGUGGCUAGAUGGGUAUGUGCCUGUGUCC